AUGCACAGCAUUGGGAAGAUCACUUGUAAAAUUCUGGCAAAUCGUCUCGCCCCGGAGCUCCCAAAAAUGAUUUCUGCCAGCCAGAGUGCCUUCAUCAAGGGCCGUAGUAUCCAGGACAACUUCCUAUAUGUGCAGAAUGCAAUAAAGGAAGCUCACUCCAAAAGGCUUCCACUAGUAUUCCUAAAAUUGGAUAUUGCCAAAGCGUUCGACUCGGUGCAUUGGGGAUAUUUGUUUGAUGUCAUGAGAGGAUUUGGGUUUGGCCAACGCUGGAUGGAUCUGAUGGCGAUCAUGCUGUCCUCCUCCUCCUCUCGUGUCAUGCUCAACGGAAGCCCCGGAGAUCCAUUCUACCAUCACCAGGGGUUGAGGCAA
rnacentral:rRNA from 1 species